rnacentral:lncRNA from 1 species
CCUACCCGCUUUUUGCCAAGAGUUCGGAGCCGUUUUUUAAUUAUUAACAAUGCAGUGCAAAAACUCUUGCACUGCAAAUCUUAAAAGAUUAUAACUUAAUUCUUGUUCUCUAUUUCUUAAGUUUUUACUUAUUUACAUUGAAUAUUAAUUUGUUUUGUUGUAUAAUCCACGUUUACAAUAAUUAUGUGAUAUAUUUGAUUUAAACAUAGAGGUAUAUAUUGACAUAGAGAGAGUGUCAUUCGAAGCGAAGUGACGACACCAUCUUUUUUCUUUGGAUUAGUGCUACUUCACUCUUACACAUAGUAAAGCUGCGACAGUAUGAUAAACGUCAUUUUUAAGUUAGGAGAAGUACGAAGUUAGCUGAUGUCUUUCCUGUUAUUUUUAUUUAGUCACUGUUUACAUUGGACAUUGACAUUUAUUUGUAGAUGUUGUUAGACGAAUAUUCUGUUUGGUUUUGUUUUUUAUUGUUAAUUGUGCAGCGAAAUUGUGAUAGUAAAUUAAAUAUAAAGUUGUUUAUAGCCUACAGAACUGAAUUAUCCCAUAGUAAUUAUCAGUUUGUGUCAAUUUGUUUGUGUGCAAAAAAGAAAAAACACCUUUCCUUGUGUUUGACCGACUUGUAGCAAGGGCUUUCUUGAGAAGCCUGUAAAUUGCGGGAAUAGGACAGACAGGGAUAAAAUCCUCACUUUUUACUGUUCCCAAGGCUAUACAUUUCCCCCAUGCAAUACAUUUAAAUGAAUUUUAUCCAAACAAAGGCAGGAACAUUGGAUAAAAGCAAUAAAGAGAACAGACCACAAAUUAAAAUAUGAGAGUAUGUAGUAAACAUUUUAUAAGUGGAAUAAACACCAGCUAUUUUAAAUGUAGGAAAAGGAGAAACUGCUGGAAUAUAAUUUUACACAAAUGUUUUUGACUAUUGAAGAUUUGGAUAAACAACAGAAGUUACUUUGGGCUAUAGCUAUGUGCAGAUUUAUUUCCUUGUGGAUUACUAUGUUUAUUCUUUUUAACUAUACUUCCUAUAUUGUUUGUGAGAUUAAUAUUAUUAUUUAAUUGAUUAUAUUAAUAUUUUGUAAUAAUAAUCAAUGCUUUGGUUUAACAAAUAGACAACUUAGAAUAGAAAAA